GAUGAACGCUGGCGGCGUGCCUAAUACAUGCAAGUCGAGCGAACAGAUGAGGAGCUUGCUCCUCUGGCGUUAGCGGCGGACGGGUGAGUAACACGUGGAUAACCUACCUAUAAGACUGGGAUAACUUCGGGAAACCGGAGCUAAUACCGGAUAAUAUAUUGAACCGCAUGGUUCAAUAGUGAAAGACGGUUUUGCUGUCACUUAUAGAUGGAUCCGCGCCGCAUUAGCUAGUUGGUAAGGUAACGGCUUACCAAGGCAACGAUGCGUAGCCGACCUGAGAGGGUGAUCGGCCACACUGGAACUGAGACACGGUCCAGACUCCUACGGGAGGCAGCAGUAGGGAAUCUUCCGCAAUGGGCGAAAGCCUGACGGAGCAACGCCGCGUGAGUGAUGAAGGUCUUCGGACCGUAAAACUCUGUUAUUAGGGAAGAACAAAUGUGUAAGUAACUAUGCACGUCUUGACGGUACCUAAUCAGAAAGCCACGGCUAACUACGUG
rnacentral:rRNA from 1 species